AACGUAGGGGGCGAGCGUUGCCCGGAUUCACUGGGCGUAAAGCGGGUGUAGGCGGUUCUCUAAGUCGGAUGUGAAAUCCUGCGGCUCAACCGCGGAACUGCAUCCGAUACUGGGGAACUUGAGGACGGUAGAGGUCGGUGGAAUUCCAGGUGUACCGGUGAAAUGGGCAGAUAUCUGGAGGAACACCAGUGGCGAAGGCGGCCGACUGGGCCGAUCCUGACGCUGAGACCCGAAAGCCAGGGUAGCGAACCGG
rnacentral:rRNA from 1 species